rnacentral:SRP_RNA from 1 species
AGCUCUGUAACCGUCGGGGGCUAAUCAGGCUUAGCGGGGAGGACGUGGAACAGCGAGGGUGACGCGCUGCGUUGACGUGGUGCUCUGCUUGGCUGUGUGUCGGUGUGACCCGCACCCCUGCAGAGGGGUGGCGCGGGC